UACGUAGGUGGCAAGCGUUGUCCGGAUUUACUGGGCGUAAAGAGCGCGCAGGCGGUCGUUCAAGUCGCGUGUGAAAGCCCCCGGCUCAACUGGGGAGGGUCACGCGAUACUGAUCGACUCGAAGGCAGGAGAGGGUAGUGGAAUUCCCGGUGUAGUGGUGAAAUGCGUAGAUAUCGGGAGGAACACCAGUGGCGAAGGCGACUACCUGGCCUGUAACUGACGCUGAGGCGCGAAAGCGUGGGGAGCAAACAGG
rnacentral:rRNA from 1 species